GCCAGACUCCUACGGGAGGCAGCAGUGAGGAAUAUUGGUCAAUGGCCGAGAGGCUGAACCAGCCAAGUCGCGUGAGGGAAGACGGCCCUACGGGUUGUAAACCUCUUUUGUCGGGGAGCAAAGCGAGUCACGUGUGACUCAUUGAGAGUACCCGAAGAAAAAGCAUCGGCUAACUCCGUGCCAGCAGCCGCGGUAAUACGGAGGAUGCGAGCGUUAUCCGGAUUUAUUGGGUUUAAAGGGUGCGUAGGCGGGCAUUUAAGCCGGCGGUCAAAUGUCGGGGCUCAACCCCGGCCUGCCGUCGGAACUGGGUGCCUUGAGUGGGCGAGAAGUAUGCGGAAUGCGUGGUGUAGCGGUGAAAUGCUUAGAUAUCACGAAGAACUCCGAUUGCGAAGGCAGCUCACUGGACUGCAACUGACACUGAGGCUCGAAAGUGUGGGUAUCAAACAGGAUUAGAUACCCGAGUAA
rnacentral:rRNA from 1 species